rnacentral:rRNA from 1 species
UACGGAGGAUGCAAGCGUUAUCCGGAAUGAUUGGGCGUAAAGCGUCCGCAGGUGGCUAUGUAAGUCUGCUGUUAAAGAGUCUAGCUCAACUAGAUAAGAGCAGUGGAAACUACAAGGCUAGAGUACGUUCGGGGCAGAGGGAAUUCCUGGUGUAGCGGUGAAAUGCGUAGAGAUCAGGAAGAACACCCGUGGCGAAGGCGGUUCUCUGGGACGGUACUGACGCUGAGACGCGAAAGCGUGGGGAGCGAACAGG